AUGCUGUAGGGGCAGUGAUACCAAAACCAGUGACGAUACUCAAAAACGGUUUUUUCUAAUUUCUACGAAAACGGUUGACCACCAAACGUUUUCAUUAGCAUAUUCGUAACCACCAACCGAUUCCGAAUCGAAUGAGCUACUUGAAAUUAAAAUUGGUGCAAAACUAAACAAUGUCGGGCUAACUUCACACCCAAAUUUUAUUUUUGAUAUUACAGGAGAACGACUAACCACCAAACGAUGGGACUGGACAACCAAACACCACCAAACGACCACCAAACGAUACCAAUUAGUGAAAAUUAAUAAAGCCGAAGUUGGCUGGCUAACUUCACAGAGGUGUACAAUUUCCUCAAAAAAUGGAGGAGUGAUGUUGGUACUAACGAAAGUCCCUAAACACUAAAUAAUGUCGUGUAACCAUUUUAAUUUUUAUGUAUUAACAGGUUUUUUGACAUUAUAUUGUAGAUUCAUUUAUUAUUUGUUUUCGCACCGCGCAUAUGUUUUCGCGCUGACAGAUUUAUUACUGAUGCAGUUUUACUAAUCACAAAAAUUAAAAUUUAGUGCCUACGGACUUUCGUUAGUACCAACAUCACUCCUCCAUUUUUUGAGGAAAUUAAUUGUCGGGUUACCCCACUGAUCUCAUUAAAGUGGAUAUGGCAUACCCUAAUAAUCUGAGGUAAAAAAGUGUGACCAAUAGAAUACCGAAAGCCAUUAAAGUUGUAGUCAGCGUACACGCUUUUGGCGGAAAAUUUGAAUGACUAACACAAAAUAUAUGUGUUAAAUAAGAUAUAUUGUAAAAAUAUAAAAUAUGAUUAUAAUGUAACCAGUAAAAAUGAAUUAAAAAAUUAAUUAAUUUACAAAAUA